CCCAACAUGCAUGCGUGUGUGUGUGUGCGUGGGGGGGGGUCAUGUAUCUCAUCUGAUGACAGAAGCUAAGCACAGGUGGGCCUGAUUAGUACUUUGAUAUGAGAACACUUAAGAAUACUAGGUAAUGUAAGCU
rnacentral:rRNA from 1 species